UAAAAGAUUUAUUGCAUUAACCACAU
rnacentral:piRNA from 1 species